GUCAUGGGGGUCAGACAAUCCCUUCCAUUCCCCGCGAGCUGCCCAUUGGUUCCGUGGGCCCGCCUCACGUGGUCGCGCUCGCGUCCGCACCUGGUAGCCUGGUGGAGGUUGGGGGCUGCGCGUGGCGACUGUGUUGGCGGCGGACCGGGAGGGAGGAAGCACUUGGGCCGGCACCAGCAUCCCCAGCGAGCCAGGCCCCGGGACCGGCCGCUUCCCGCAGGGCAGGCUUCCGCGAACCUCUGGCACCACAGCGCGGUGCUGGCCGAGCCUCCCCCACGCCUUGCGGGUGGGCCAGGGCUUCGUAGUUUUAGGCUGCAGGGGCGUCUCCCUGCCCAACGGGAAAUUAAAUUCCCCGCAGUCGCCCCUGUCUGGAGUAACAAGACCUGAUAACCCGGGAGUAUCUGUGGCCUCAUUCAUUUGAUACUUGGCGGAUUUUAGGAGCGUUGACUUGGAUUUUUUCUAUUUUUUUUUUUUUGGACACCUCUCAGGGCCCAGGGAGAGGAAGGCGGUCUAAACAGCAGCAAGAGGAAGUUGUUAAGAAGGAAUUCUUUCCCACAUAGAGUAGAGGCAGUAUAUGUUGGUAUAGCAAAAUGAGUAAGAACACAGCUGGAGCUAGACUGCCUGAGUUCCAGUCCCAGUUCUGCAGCUUACUGUGUGGUCUUGAGCAAUCUCUUCCUGGCUCAGUUCUUUCAUAGGGAACUACCAGCUCAGUAUUCAGUAUUCAGACCACAGAUCUAUGACUCACCAAUAAACCACCUGGAUAAAUGAACACAGAGGAUCUCAUCUGCUGCUGGCUAUUACCCUACCUCUUGAUUCUUACUCUAUUCUGCAACUGGAAAUUCCAUUUUCAUUUGAGCUGCACUAAAGGUCAGGUCUGAAACGUGCUAAGUAACACGACAAGGCAGGGCACAGAACAUGAAGGUGCCCAAGGAAGCAGAUCGUCCAAAACACUCAUAAUGCAGAGGGAACCGAGGCCCAGAGAGGACAGGACCAGGGCUCAGAUCCUAGAUGAAGAUGGGUAUUUCUCCGCGUGCAGUCUGAGGCCCGCUGAGAAACAUCACCCUGGACCCGGCAAAUUCACCAGAUUCAGAAACGUUCCCGUGCCCUGCCCCCCCCCGCCCCAUGUCCCCAGCUUGUGGGAGGCCUUGGAGAGGCAGGUUGGCUGGCUCCGCACGCCUCAGUCCCUGUGUUCUCCACCACGGCCUUAUGCAGCCUCCCCAGCUGGGCAGGAAGAGAGGCCACUGUGAGGGGGUCAGGUGAACGCCCUCGCUUGGAGGCCAAGCAGGAGAGGCUGGGGCUUCACUAAUAUAAGAGGUUUGAGCAUAUGUUUUUUCAGACCCCUUGGGUCCUAACAUGGGGAGCUCUAAGGACGGCCUGUGUUCCCUUCGGCCUCCACAGCCACCCUUUGUUCGCUGUCCUCACCGCACUCCGUCCCCUCCUGUGCCCAGCCUGCCGAGGGAGCCUUAUAUGAGCCACUGCAGCUGGACUAGACUCCUCUGUGUGCUACAGGACAUGCUCCAGGCUACCAUCUUCCGCCUAUUUCAAACCAUCUCUGGUCCAGGACUUCCUACCCUCAGCCCUGUUGACGUCAUUCCCAGAUUCUUCUUUCUUUAUGGAUUUCAUUUAGCAGCAUCUUUGGACCAACUCCCUCAGCACCAUGCUGACAGUCUAAGGGCAAUGGAGGUCUACUCUUGGCCAGACUUCAGGGGAGGGGUUUCAGAUAAGGUCUAUGUUCUUUUCUGCAGCAGACACUGCUUUGCCUUCACCCCAGCCCAACCGCAGUAUGCCUUGGACCCUAAAGUUCCCGUAUAUGCAUCUUUGUGCCUGAGGACCUUUGCCUCCAGCUUUGCUCAGAAGGGCCACUGCCCCCAGAGCAGUUCUCAGUGAAGACUGAUGGAAGGCGGUGCACAGACACCCAGCUCCCUCCUCCCGCAGGUUGUGGGCUUCUGAGGAGGGUGUUCCUCACCAUGGUUUCCCCACGGGUCAAGGUCUAGUCACCCACACAUUAUUGGCUGCUGUCUCUUUUCUGUCACUUUCCCAUUCCCCUGCCAGUGGUCCCUGUGUCUCCCAAAUAAAUGAC